CCAGAUCCAUCGCGGGGAGGCGCUUGAGGAUAGUCCUCUCCUGCGUCGGCGCAGCGGGCGCGGCCCCCGCCGCCGCGGCCGCGGCCGCCGCCUUCUUCUCGCGGCGGGAGCGGCCGCCGCGGCGCUCGCGGCGGGAGCGGCGGAGGGCGGCGAGGACGUAGCAGCCGGAGCCCUCGCGCGCGACGGCGGCGGCGAGGUCGGUCCCCUCCUCGAGGGGCACGCGGCGCGCGCGGCGGGGGCGCGCGAGCGAGGCCAGGAUCUGCUGCGGCGCGAGCCCCACCCUGUCGGCGACGACGGCCUGCAGCUUGCGGACGCCGAGGGAGGGCUGGACGGUGACGGUGCCGAGGUCGACGGUCUGGUCGCCGUCGACGAAGACGACGGGCAGCACCGCCGCGGGCGG
rnacentral:lncRNA from 1 species